CAUAUACAUCAGGGAAGAUUCAGUGCUGCGUUACGGGGCAGCACAGCACUGAGUCACAGCCUCUAGUGGAAUGGAUAGGGAAUCUGUGUUUCCAAGGUCCCAGUUCUUACCCCAGUCUUCAGCCCCGUUGAGAAGUUCUCUGCCAAGAUACUGAGGUGUGAUUCCUCAGCAUGUUCAGAAUGUCUAAGAUUAUGCAAAUGUGAAAACAAAUCACACAUCAAAGCUUUGAUGUUUCCAGUCAAAAGUGUGACACAUGGUGCAUAAUGCAUUAAAGCAAUGUGGUUUUGUACAAAGGCGUAUAUCAUCAAAAAAGGAAAAUGGAGGAAAUUUGCAGCAAACCCCCAGAAGUAAAAGGGAUAAAUGUGGAUUUGCAUUAUGUUAAAGGAGGGGGGAAGGAGGGAGGGAAGAUCUAUGCGUUUUAAAGAACUGCAGGUCUAUCUCUUAGUUAUUGACAUUUAAAUAAAGUAAGAAGCUGUACUUAGGGUUCUGUUUUGCUUUAACCAGAGGAAUGGUGAAAGCCAGUCUGCAACCAGAUGCAGCUGAUAUGUGGAAGGAAAUGGUGAUGUGACUUAGCAGAGAGGGGUCAUGUUUUGGAGGAGUGUCUGAAAGUGCUGAAAGUGUUAUCAUGGCAAGAAUUCAGAGCUGUGCACUGCCUUCCUGCUCACUACAGUGGGGCAGCGGGUGUAACUAGAUAGAUUUUGACUGUCUGGUGGAUUAUAGUUGUAUAGAUAACAGCAAAUGUGGUAAUGGUCUAAGAGUGUGGCUUUAUCUUCCCUGUGUUAUUCCAGCAGCUGUUGGCAUAGAGGGAGUAUGAGCUGCAGGAACCUGCCUCAGCUCACGUACUUAGGCUGAAGACUCAAACAGCAGAUGGUAACAGUACCUACGUCUAAGGCAAAUUUGUUUGGUUUCUUCACUUUCUGCAGGCCUUGUGGAGAACUUCAUGGCUACACCCAAAACUUCGGUAGUGGGAACACGCUGGAAAGACCAGAAAUCCUUCCCAAGUCCUUGAGGUCUUGAACGGGAACAACUCCUUGUUUCUCCAGUUUUUCCUUCACAUGAUCUGACACAUUUUCUGUGUGCAAGUGAGUACUAAUUCGUCACAUAUGUUGGAUAGAAAAUUGAGAGUACAUAAUAGGUGAACCAGAAAAUGCCACAUUUUUUUCAGCCUAUUUCAUUUCAACAUCAUUUCAGUGAUGUGCAGUCCUUAGGAAAAUUUGAUCUAAAA
rnacentral:lncRNA from 1 species